AGAGCGAACGCUGGCGGCAGGCUUAACACAUGCAAGUCGAACGAACUCUUCGGAGUUAGUGGCGGACGGGUGAGUAACACGUGGGAACGUGCCUUUUGGUUCGGAAUAGCUCCUGGAAACGGGUGGUAAUGCCGAAUGUGCCCUUCGGGGGAAAGAUUUAUCGCCAUUAGAGCGGCCCGCGUCUGAUUAGCUAGUUGGUGAGGUAAAGGCUCACCAAGGCUACGAUCAGUAGCUGGUCUGAGAGGAUGACCAGCCACAUUGGGACUGAGACACGGCCCAAACUCCUACGGGAGGCAGCAGUGGGGAAUCUUGCGCAAUGGGCGAAAGCCUGACGCAGCCAUGCCGCGUGUAUGAUGAAGGUCUUAGGAUUGUAAAAUACUUUCACCGGUGAAGAUAAUGACUGUAGCCGGAGAAGAAGCCCCGGCUAACUCGUGCCAGCAGCCGC
rnacentral:rRNA from 1 species